rnacentral:misc_RNA from 1 species
GGCAAGUUGAUUACCAUAUAUACAUAAAAAUUUUGCAUUACUUUUUAUGGAACAGAUACUGCGCUCAUUCCACUUCAUGCUAUCGUUGGCUGCAUUCUUUAUACAUUUGAAUCACAGACACACAUUUAUAAUAUAUCCAUGUUUGCUUAGAAUUAAUAAAAUUAGGGUUAAUGAACAAAUAAUUUGAAAAUUUUCUCAUGUUUUAAAUUAUGGUUGAAACAUUUUUUUUUUGCCAAUUGUAUCUUGAGAUUUAAUUUCAAUUGCACCCAUCCUAAAUUUCUUGGUCUAGGGGUUUGUGUCACAUCCGUCUUGCAUGGUUCUAAAAUACCCUUUGAUUUCACAUUACAAGGGAAAUAAUUGCAGGAAAAUGGAUUAUAGCAUUUGAAUUUCAUGGGCUGUCAAUAUUCCUAAAACCCUAACUCAUAUAUUGGGCAAAAGAUGGAGAAAGAAAGAGAAAAUUGAUAUUAGCUCUCAAGCAGAUAUAAAUAUAGAAUGCAGAACAUAAAGCUAGAGAAUUUGAGGAUGACAACAAUUGAAAUCAAAUCCUUUAGCUCUGAUUAUAAUUUUAGAAAGUUAAAAUUUUGAUGAACUAAAUUUUCUUUUCUUUUGUGUUGGAUUGUUAAUUUUGUCAUCAACCCUUAAAUUUAAUAUUUACUUUUCUUUCUAAUUAUAUUAUAGUAAAAGAUUGUUAUUGGUGAAAUUUAAGUGACUUAUUCAUUAGAAUAUUGCUUUUUUAGAAUUUCACCUCUCGAGGCUCAUGUUGUUAUGUACCUAUGGUUUGAUCAUCCAAGAAGUUUUUAAAGAUUUUAGACAAAAGCCAAAGAACCGUUAUGUAAUGCAAUUGAAACUGUCAUUUUCCCCUGAUGUGCUCAUUAUAUUGCACUUUUUGUGUAAGUUGUAUUUAUAUUGAAGAGAGAUUUGAAAAUUGACAAGAAAAUUGAGGGACUUGUAUCAUCUUCAAUCCCUUGAGACUAUAUAAUACUCAUGCAUACUUCUAAAUUUCAAUUUUGGUCUCAACAAAACCCAAAAAAUGCUGGUGGUUUAGGAAGUUUUCAGCUGAAAGAGAGAAAAGGAAAAAAGAAAAAAAUUAUAUAUAUAUACACACACACACAUAUAGAUAGAUAUAGAUAUAUGCAUUUUACAUAUAUACCUGUGAAUCUUCCUGGUUUGUGUAUUUUGGAGCUUUUUUUGGGCUCUUGAGGGUUAAAUGGAUUGUAUUUGAGAAGGGAUUUUCUGAAACAGGAUCUUUCAAAUUUUUAGAGGGUACUGUUACUGGUGCGUUUUGAUUUGUUGGAGAAAAAUGGCAACUGAGCAAGUAUUGCCUUUCUCUGUGGUUUCUGUUGUGGAGGAAAUUCUUCAACAACAUGGGAAUGGAACUGGGACUAGAUCAAGAGAAAUUGAUUUGGCUUCAAGAAAAGCUGAUGAAGCUUCCCUUAGAAGGUAUGAAGCAGCUGGGUGGCUUCGAAAAAUGAUUGGAGUUGUUGGGGGUAAAGAUUUGCCUGCAGAACCCUCGGAAGAAGAAUUCCUGCUUGGAUUGCGAAGUGGGAUAAUCUUGUGCAAUGUCAUUAACAAGGUUCAACCUGGAGCAGUGCCAAAGGUGGUGGAAGGCCCUUGUGAUUCUGUCACGGUUCCUGAUGGGGCAGCUCUAUCUGCAUUUCAGUACUUUGAAAAUGUAAGAAACUUCCUUGUUGCUGUGGAGGAAAUGGGCCUUCCAACCUUUGAAGCCUCUGAUCUGGGGCAGGGAGGGAAAUCUGCUCGAGUUGUGAACUGCGUAUUAGCACUUAAAUCAUAUAACGAGUGGAAACAAAAUGGUGGAGUUGGAACAUGGAAAUAUGGUGGAAGUUUAAAACCCCAACACAGUGGAACUGGGAAACCCUUCAUGAGAAAAGUUACAGAACCUUUCAUGAAUUCCUUUUCGCGGACCACGUCUUUGCCCAGUGGUGGUGAUCAUUUUUCCUACGAUGAUCUUGGCCAUGACCUCAAUGAAUCAAGUGCCUCUCGUUCGUUGCACAUGCUUGUGCGUGCAGUUAUUUCGAAUAAGAAGCAAGAAGAAAUACCAUAUAUUGUAGAAUCUAUGUUGAAUAAAGUCAUGGAGGAGUUUGAGCGUCGACUUGUGAGCCAACAAGAACUGAUGAAAGCAACAGCAAAAGACUUGGUAGCAUCUAGCCCUGGCAUGUCUCUUGAAACAACAUCUAGUGAUAUAAAGAUGGAAGAAGAAACUUCUACACCAAUCAAAGCAGCAGAAGCUUCCUCAGGAAUCACAGCAGAAGAAUACUGCAGUCAAGAGGAUGAUCAUCAUGAUGAGAAAUCAAAAAUUCAGCUUUUGAAGCAGCAAAUGAUGGUGGAACAGCAACAUAAACAUAUUCAGGAACUGAAACAUGCCCUUCACUCCACGAAAACAGGAAUGCAGUUUUUGAAGAUUAAGUAUCAGGAGGAGUUCAACAUUCUAGGCAAGCACUUGUAUGGCCUAGCUCAUGCUGCUUCAGGAUACCAGAGAGUCCUUGAAGAAAACCGCAAGUUAUACAAUCAAGUUCAGGACCUCAAAGGAAAUAUUAGAGUAUACUGCCGAGUGAGACCCUUCUUGCCUGGGCAACCAAACCGUUUCAGUACUGUGGAUCACAUAGAAGAAGGAAACAUUACAAUAAUCACUCCUUCAAAAUAUGGCAAAGAAGGAAGAAAAUCAUUUAAUUUCAACAAAGUUUUUGGUCCCACGGCAACUCAAGAGGAAGUAUUUGCAGACACUCAGCCUUUGAUUCGGUCGGUUCUUGAUGGAUACAAUGUUUGUAUAUUUGCUUAUGGCCAAACAGGAUCUGGGAAAACUUAUACUAUGAGUGGCCCGGAUGAACUUACAGAGGAGAGCCAAGGUGUAAACUACAGGGCAUUGAGUGAUCUUUUUCUUCUGUCAGAUCAAAGAAAGGAAAUUAUUUGCUAUGAAAUCUCUGUCCAAAUGCUAGAGAUUUACAAUGAGCAAGUGAGGGAUCUCCUUGCUAGUGAUGGUAUAAACAAAAGAUUAGAAAUUCGCAACAGUUCUCAGAAUGGGAUUAAUGUACCAGACGCAACCCAAUUACCUGUAUCAUCAACAGCUGAUGUCAUAAAUUUGAUGAACCUUGGACAUAGGAAUCGUGCAGUGAGUGCUACAGCAAUGAAUGACCGGAGCAGCCGCUCUCAUAGCUGCCUGACAGUUCAUGUUCAAGGAAGAAACUUCACAUCUGGAACUGUGAUUCGUGGUUCGAUGCAUCUUGUUGAUCUAGCAGGAAGUGAAAGAGUUGAUAAAUCUGAGGUGACUGGAGAUAGAUUGAAGGAAGCACAACAUAUCAAUAAAUCUCUUUCUGCUUUAGGAGAUGUGAUUUCCUCUCUUGCUCAAAAAAGUUCUCAUGUUCCCUACAGGAAUAGUAAACUCACUCAACUACUCCAAGAUUCCCUUGGAGGGCAGGCCAAAACGCUCAUGUUUGUCCACAUAAGUCCUGAGCAUGAUGCUCUUGGUGAAACAAUUAGUACACUUAAAUUUGCUGAACGGGUUGCCACAGUUGAGCUUGGUGCUGCUCGAGUUAAUAAAGAUAGUUCUGAGGUGAAGGAGCUAAAAGAGCAGAUUGCUAACCUUAAGGCGGCCUUAGUUAGGAAGGAGGGAGAUUCAGAGCAUUCGCAAAAUUCUGGAUGCAGCACCCCAGAAAGACUAAGAAUGAAGCCAGGAACUGGAGAUAGUAGUCGUAGGCAAUCAAUGGAUAAUGCUGGUAAUAUAGAGGUGAGGAGCAAUUCUUCAUCUUCCCUGAGAAGAAGAAGCCUAGAUCUCAAUGAUUUGCGAACAAAGUCACCUCCUUGGCCACCUGUUGGAAGUCCUGCACAGAAUGAAAAUGAGGAAGAUAAAGAAUCAGCCUCUGGUGACUGGGUAGAUAAGGUGAUGGUGAAUAGGCAUGACAAUAUAAAGAGUGGAGAUGAAGAAAACCUUCUGGGACAAUGGGAACUAGACAGCAGACAAUUGCCUGAGCCAUUUUAUCAGGGUUAUGCUCAAGACCCUUCCAAGAUUUACCCAGAACAACCCUUCAAUAAUAAAACUUCUACUGCAAAUAAUAAGGACAACCAAGAAUUUGAUGCACAGAGUCGUAGGUCUGAUGUUAUAUCCACUGAUUCUGAUGAGCUUGAGGCUGGAACAAGUGAUUCUUCCGAACCUGACUUGCUAUGGAAAUCAAAUCUUCCUAGAGAGAGCAGCCUUCCUAAUGGGUUGGGAUCUAAGCCAAAGAAGACUAAUACCAAGGCAAUCAAGAGACCAGAAACCAAGUAAGUUGUUUUUCUGUAAGCUGCAGCAUUGUUAUGGAAACCUUUCAUCUGCAUUUAUUUUGACACGUAUGAUCAGAGGUAUCUUUUUAAGAGCGCGCUCACCAUAAUAACAGGAUGCAUUCAAGAUCUUUGAAUAGUAUUGGAGUGCUUUUCAAUGGAAAUUGGAACUCCUAACCUUACCAACUAGAUCAAACCUGGUUCCAUUGCAUUUUUAAUGUGGAAGUGGAGUACAGAGAAUGCUGCUGCUUUGUAAGAGAAUUUUCUUUGUUAUUACUAACCAUUUUCUUUAUCUUUGGUUUCUGAAGCAGGAGUUUAAUUCCAUCACUAAUUCCUUCUCCAUCAAAGAAACGCAAUGGGGUUAGUCCAGUUACAAGCAAGCUUGGAAGACAUCUAGUUGCUGCUGAUGUGAAGAGGAAAACUGGCCAUGCAAAGUGAGAAUUCUACUGUGAGAUGCUGAAGGAGAUGAUGGCUU